ensembl:lncRNA
UACCAUUCUAAAGGUUUAAUCCACACAACUUUUUAAUGAACGCGCCAUUACUAAUACCACUUUACAGACGAGGAAACUGAGGCUCAGAAAGGAUUCCAUAUAUAUGUGUUGCUGCUGCUGCUGCUGCUAAGUCGCUUCAGUCAUGUCCGACUCUGUGCGACCCCAUAGACGGCAGUCCACCAGGCUCCACUGUCCCUGGGAUUCUCCAGGUGUUGAUUCCAAUAAUACUCCAUAAUGAACCUCCUGCAAGCUAAGCUCCAUCUCAGAAUGUGUUUCCUGGGGAAUCCAUCCAAGGCUUCUCUUCUGUGUGGUCAGAGAAGGAUUAGGUCAAAAGCAAGGGGGUGAAGACUUCCCUGGUGGUUCAGUGGUAAAGAAUCUGCCUGCCAAUGCAAGAGACUUGGUUUCAAUCCCUGAUCUGGGGAGAACCCACAUCUGGGGAGACCCCACAUGCCACGGGGCCUGUGUGCCACAAGUAUUGACCCUGUGCUCUGGAGCCCAGGAACUGCCACAACUGAGUCCACAGGCUGCAGCUCCUGAAAUCUGAAGGCCUAGAGCCAUACUCCACAGCAAGAGAGGCCACUGCGCUGAGAGGCCUGUGCACCACAACUGGAGGAUCACCCUGCUUGCCACAGCUAGAGAAAAGACCUCACAGCAACAAAGACCCAGCACAGCCAGAAAUAAAUAAGAUAAACAAAAUUAUUUUUUUAAAAAGAGUAAAUAGGUAAAAGAAACUCAUUUAUAUAUAUAUUUUCCCCCCAUAGCAGUCUCUGAUCCUGGAAGUACAUAGCAUUCAAAGUUCUUUGGUCAAUGGAAGGUUCUAUCCUCUGAGGAAAGGUUGAUUUAAAUUUCAUUCUUAACAUCAAAUUAUGUGAAUGAUAUCUUUAAUCACAAAAAAUCUUACCCUAAAAGACUUGCCUUAUGAAUUUCACCCAAUCACCAAGCAUAUUCCCCAGAAAAAUUUAGGUAU